rnacentral:rRNA from 1 species
GGAGGUAGUGACGUGAAAUAACGAUGCGGGACUCUUCCGAGGCCUCGCAAUCGGAAUGAGUUAACUUUAAAUCCUUUCGACGAGGAUCGAUUGGAGGGCAAGUCUGGUGCCAGCAGCCGCGGUAAUUCCAGCUCCAAUAGCGUAUAUUAAAGUUGCUGCGGUUAAAAAGCUCGUAGUUGAAUCUCACGAUUCAACAGGAGGUAAGCGCCGUGGUGGUAGUAGUAGUAAGUAGCAAUUACAGUAUUGCUACUACUACUAGAAUUCACCUUCUCAUUCGUCUCGUUACGGUAGAAGAAGAAGGAGGAUGUCGAAAGCUCGAACAGGGUGUUAAUAAGACGGUACGAGUUAAUGUUCCGAAAGUGGUGGUAGCGGAGGCGGUCGUCGUUGCUGCUGCAGCAUCAGCUGUUUGUACUGCGGUGGUAGUGGCAAAAAACGACUGACCGUGGCCGCUGCCGCUUCUACUACUUCGUUCAUCGUCGAUUCCCUAUUCGUUGCAUUGUUUCCUUUUACUACUGGUUCUCUUUCUUCUUUCCAACGAACGGAAAAGAGAGGGUGAAAAAGAAAGUGCCACGGUGUAAUAAUCGUCCUUUUGGAUAACAAACAUUGUCCGGCCGGCCAGCGGCGUUAGUAUCCGAUGGUGCUGCUUCUUCUGCUGCUGCUGCUGCUGCUGGCUCUCGCGCGCUCGCGUUCGGUCGGCAACUUCACUUUGACAAAAUUAGAGUGCUCAGAGCGGGCAAGAUCUGAAGCCCGAAUGGAGGUGCAUAGAAUGAUCUAAGAUGACCUCGCGAUCUAAACGUUUGUCGGUUUAUGGGGUCGCGAGGUAAUGAUUAAA